AGGCCGCGGUAUUUUGACCGGGCGAAGGGAGCAUAAUCAUUAGUUUGUUAAAAGUAGUCUGGAAAGAAGGGUUUGACGGGGAGUAGCUUUCUUAUUUUUAUUCUUGAAUUUGAAUUAUUAGUAAAAAUGCUAAUAUUUUUUAGGGGGGCGAGAAGACCCUAUAGAGCUUUAUAUUAUAAUGCUUUUUUGUGGGGAAGUUUAGCAUAUUAUAUUUUGUUGGGGCGACAACAGGUAUAAAACAUCUGUGUUAUUUGUCUUUUUAAUAGGUUUUAUGAUCCAUUAUUAAUGAUAAAAGACUAAGUUACCUUAGGGAUAACAGCGUAAUUUUGUUUUAGAGUUCAUAUCGAUAACAAAGGUUGCGACCUCGAUGUUGGAUUAGAAUUCCUUUUUUAUGGCGCAGGAGUUUUUAAAGGUAGUCCGUC
rnacentral:rRNA from 1 species